rnacentral:rRNA from 1 species
UUCCGUAGGGGGAACCUGCGGAGGGAUCAUUACACAAAUAUGAAGGCGGGCUGGAAUCUCUCGGGGUUACAGCCUUGCUGAAUUAUUCACCCGUGUCUUUUGCGUACUUCUUGUUUCCUGGGUGGGUUCGCCCACCACCAGGACCAACCAUAAACCUUUUGUAAUUGCAAUCAGCGUCAGUAACAAAAUAAUAAUUACAACUUUCAACAACGGAUCUCUUGGUUCUGGCAUCGAUGAAGAACGCAGCGAAAUGCGAUAAGUAGUGUGAAUUGCAGAAUUCAGUGAAUCAUCGAAUCUUUGAACGCACAUUGCGCCCUUUGGUAUUCCAAAGGGCAUGCCUGUUCGAGCGUCAUUUGUACCCUCAAGCUCUGCUUGGUGUUGGGCGUCUUGUCUCCAGUUUCGCUGGAGACUCGCCUUAAAGUCAUUGGCAGCCGGCCUACUGGUUUCGGAGCGCAGCACAAGUCGCGCUCUCUGCCAGCCAAGGUCAGCAAUCCACAAAGCCUUUUUUCAACUUUGACCUCGGAUCAGGUAUUGUUUCCCCG